GCCCGGUUAGCUCAAUCGGUAGAGGUUAGUUGAUUUCCAUCAAACCCAUCCUUUAACACACGAUGCUAACUGUUCAUCUAGCGUGAGACUCUUAAUCUCAAGGUUGCGGGUUCGACCCCCGCAUCGGGCU